AGUCUCAUAGAUUUAAAAGUUCUUCAAGGUUCACAGGAAUGUAGCAAACCACAAACUCUGUGUUUGAAUACAGAGUGUCUGGACUCCAUAGCUCCCAGUCUUUCAUUCUAGGCUGUACUGUCAUCCAGAUGAGACUGAAGACAAUAUGAGAGCUGAUCUCGUGCAGAGAUGUUCCCUUCAUUACAGCAAUGGUACAGGUUUCUCUCUACAAUCUGGCUCAUAAUGAAUCAACACGAGUCAAAUGUAAAGGCAUCCAGUAGCAUCAUAGGGAUAAGAUGGAAAGCCUGUCACCUAGCAUGUAGAGGACUCCUAAAAUAAUACUCUUCCUCUAUUCCUCAUAAACUCUGAUAUAUAUUUUUUCCAAUCAUUUAUUUAUUGGACAAAAAUCCAAGGAGAGGUAACUCUGCCUCCAGAAAUACAGAGACUAUGAUGCCUACCCCAUGGAGCUCAUGCACAGAGAAGGAAAACUUGGAAACAAAGAAGUGGAAACAUUUACUUGAAGGGUGAAAUGUGUUGUAUCCAUGGAACAAAGGUUGUAAUGGCAAAAUAUACUUGGGGCAAUGGAGGAAAGCAUCACAGAGCAGGAAGGAUGUUUAAGGAGUGCAGGUGGUUUGGUGGCAGGUAGGAGGGUGUUUUUUUGGGAAGGGUCUGCAUACCUAAGAAAUGGAGAGUUGCAACAAUAAGGCUUAUUGGAGAAACUAUAUAAGGACCUGGUACCUAGAAAUUAGCACCACCCCGAUAAUACAGGAAUUUCAUUGGUCCCAAUGGGCAUGGAGAUCUAAAAAAGAAAGGAUUUUACCUCUCACCAGUCACUCCAUUGGCAGUGGCUCUAGUGUCCCUGAGAGCCUUUGGUGGUGGGAGGGGCAGCUGUACGUGAGAGUGGGGCAGUGAGGUAUGGCUUGAUGAAAUGUGAGCAGCAUUUGCUUUGAACAAUUCUAUCUUCAUUGUUAUCUCAUCAAAAACAAACAAUUGCACAGUCAGCUCUGGAAAGCCAGGUAAUAAUAUGCAAUUCUUUGACUGUCCUCUGUAACCUUCUCUAUUUUCUUACAUGUCCUUAAAAAGACAGAUAGAGCUACAGAUGAUUAUCAGGUCUUCCAAACUUUCCAUUGAAGCAGACGUGUGGGAGCCCAGCGCUCAAUGGCUCCAAUUCUCUCCUGUAUUCUUUUCACAUCAGACUGAUUUCUUCAUUGUCCUCUGGAUCACAACAUGCAUUUCUCUCCUUGCACAUUUGUUCAGCUCUGGUUCAAGUUAUGCAAGCAGACUGGAAGAGAAUGGCGAUGGACAUCUUGACCUCUCAUCUGUGAGCAAUGAAUGUGAACCGUACGCACACUGCAGAUUUUGAGAGGAAGCUCUGAAACUAUAAUAAAGCUG